GGUUGAUCCUGCCAGUAGUCAUAUGCUUGUCUCAAAGAUUAAGCCAUGCAUGUCUAAGUAUAUACUUUUGUACAGUUGAACUGCGGAUGGCUCAUUAAAUCAGUUAUAGUUUAUCGAUGGUCGUUUACUACAUGGAUAACCGUGGUAAUUCUAGAGCUAAUACAUGCGUAAAACUCCAAUUGGAGUGUGCUUGUCUGACUUGAACCAAUACGGCUUGCCGUUUUCUGGUGAAUCAGGACAAAAGUACGAAUCGACGUUAGUCGAUGCAUCAUUCGAGUUUCUGCCCUAUCAG
rnacentral:rRNA from 1 species